AUGACAAUAACCUUCGGUGAUGGUACCGAAGACAAAAAAAUCAAGAUUACCAAGGAAGCUAUCCACAAGGUGUUUGGAUACCCAAACGGCACGCAAAAGUCAGCACCAAGGCCAGCGACUAGCCCAACUUCAAAGAAAGAACUGAUGUCAGACCUUGGCUUCAAACAUACAAAUUUCACGCCAAAAGAACUGUUCAAGAAGCUAGAAAUAUUGGUGGAACUAGAUGACGAACAUUCAAACAGGAAAUCACUUAAAAUAUUUUUUUCCUUAUUUUUUCCACAAUGUUGUCUGCGGGUCAAGCGAUGCUAUCUUCAGCAAACAAGCUAUAAUGGUCAAGGACAUGGACUAUCCAGAAAUGGCAAAGAUGGAUUUCUGCGAGGUAAUCGUCAAAAGUAUUAA
rnacentral:rRNA from 1 species